AGUGGCGGACGGGUGAGUAACACGUGGGAACGUGCCUUUAGGUUCGGAAUAAGCCCGGGAAACUGGGUCUAAUACCGGAUGUGCCCUUCGGGGGAAAGAUUUAUCGCCUUUAGAGCGGCCCGCGUCUGAUUAGCUAGUUGGUGGUGUAAUGGACCACCAAGGCGACGAUCAGUAGCUGGUCUGAGAGGAUGAUCAGCCACAUUGGGACAGAGACACGGCCCAAACUCCUACGGGAGGCAGCAGUGGGGAAUCUUGCGCAAUGGGCGAAAGCCUGACGCAGCCAUGCCGCGUGAAUGAUGAAGGUCUUAGGAUUGUAAAAUUCUUUCACCGGGGACGAUAAUGACGGUACCCGGAGAAGAAGCCCCGGCUAACUUCGUGCCAGCAGCCGCGGUAAUACGAAGGGGGCUAGCGUUGCUCGGAAUUACUGGGCGUAAAGGGAGCGUAGGCGGACAUUUAAGUCAGGGGUGAAAUCCCGGGGCUCAACCUCGGAACUGCCUUUGAUACUGGGUGUCUUGAGUGUGAUAGAGGUAUGUGGAACUCCGAGUGUAGAGGUGAAAUUCGUAGAUAUUCGGAAGAACACCAGUGGCGAAGGCGACAUACUGGAUCAUUACUGACGCUGAGGCUCGAAAGCGUGGGGAGCAAACAGGAUUAGAUACCCUGGUAGUCCACGCCGUAAACGAUGAUUGCUAGUUGUCGGGG
rnacentral:rRNA from 1 species